GAUGAACGCUGGCGGCGUGCCUAAUACAUGCAAGUCGAGCGAACGGACGAGAAGCUUGCUUCUCUGAUGUUAGCGGCGGACGGGUGAGUAACACGUGGUUAACCUACCUAUAAGACUGGGAUAACUUCGGGAAACCGGAGCUAAUACCGGAUAAUAUAUUGAACCGCAUGGUUCAAAAGUGAAAGACGGUCUUGCUGUCACUUAUAGAUGGAUCCGCGCUGCAUUAGCUAGUUGGUAAGGUAACGGCUUACCAAGGCAACGAUGCAUAGCCGACCUGAGAGGGUGAUCGGCCACACUGGAACUGAGACACGGUCCAGACUCCUACGGGAGGCAGCAGUAGGGAAUCUUCCGCAAUGGGCGAAAGCCUGACGGAGCAACGCCGCGUGAGUGAUGAAGGUCUUCGGAUCGUAAAACUCUGUUAUUAGGGAAGAACAUAUGUGUAAGUAACUGUGCACAUCUUGACGGUACCUAAUCAGAAAGCCACGGCUAACUACGUG
rnacentral:rRNA from 1 species